GUCAAAACCUCCCAAACACACAAGAGGAAAAUCUAGCGGCGAGUGGAAAUGAUGGUUUCCUGGUUGCAAACACGGUCCGCCGACACUACUGACAGGACAAUCAAGGCAAAGGAAUCACCUUCCCUCAUUAUUUUCCAUCUUUUACAAACUCCAAAUUCUCAUUAUGUUCUGGACCGAAGACAAGCUUGGACCAAAAACAGAAACAUGUCACAAUUAGCUUUGGUUUUCAUCGUGCACAUGUUAUUGGGUUGUUCCUGAGCCCUCAGGACACCACAGAAGCCCCAACCAGGAGUCACGAGGGUGCACUAGAGGGCUUUUCAGGAAUCUUCCGCCCAGCAGGACCUGGGAGACACAAGGAAUGACAUCAGAGAGGAGGAAGCGAGGAGGAGGAAAAGAGAGGAGAGGAGAGAGAGGGAGGACAAAUUCUUCAAUCAGUUACAACUCUGGAAAGAAACAAGCAGAAGGACUUCUGGACCAUCUCAAAGAAGGAGGAAAAACCCCUGGAGUCCAAAACGGAAAGAGGAAAACAUCAUGGCCCAUCCGACUGAAACAGAGUGACGGAAUUGGAGGGAAGACUUUCUGUCCCACGGACCAACCCAUGCUUCAUCUUUAGAAGAAAGUUUAAGAAACAACAAACUCCGGAUCAGUCAGACCACAGUUUUCCCUUCCCUUAUUCUCCCCCACCAAUCACUGCAC
rnacentral:lncRNA from 1 species